rnacentral:rRNA from 2 species
CCCUUAGAGUUUGAUCCUGGCUCAGAUUGAACGCUGGCGGCAGGCCUAACACAUGCAAGUCGAGCGGUAACAGAUUGAUAGCUUGCUAUCGAUGCUGACGAGCGGCGGACGGGUGAGUAAUGCCUGGGAAUAUGCCCUGAUGUGGGGGAUAACUAUUGGAAACGAUAGCUAAUACCGCAUAAUCUCUUUGGAGCAAAGAGGGGGACCUUCGGGCCUCUCGCGUCAGGAUUAGCCCAGGUGGGAUUAGCUUGUUGGUGGGGUAAUGGCUCACCAAGGCAACGAUCCCUAGCUGGUCUGAGAGGAUGAUCAGCCACACUGGAACUGAGACACGGUCCAGACUCCUACGGGAGGCAGCAGUGGGGAAUAUUGCACAAUGGGGGAAACCCUGAUGCAGCCAUGCCGCGUGUAUGAAGAAGGCCUUCGGGUUGUAAAGUACUUUCAGUUGUGAGGAAGGCAGUAAAGUUAAUAGCUUUGCUGUUUGACGUUAGCAACAGAAGAAGCACCGGCUAACUCCGUGCCAGCAGCCGCGGUAAUACGGAGGGUGCGAGCGUUAAUCGGAAUUACUGGGCGUAAAGCGCAUGCAGGUGGUCUGUUAAGCAAGAUGUGAAAGCCCGGGGCUCAACCUCGGAACAGCAUUUUGAACUGGCAAACUAGAGUACUGUAGAGGGGGGUAGAAUUUCAGGUGUAGCGCUGAAAAUGC